rnacentral:rRNA from 1 species
UACGAAGGGGGCGAGCGUUGUUCGGAUUUACUGGGCGUAAAGGGCGCGCAGGCGGCUCAUUUUGUCAGGCGUGAAAGCCCCGGGCUUAACCUGGGAACUGCGUUUGAUACGGAUGGGCUAGAGUUCGGGAGAGGAGAGUGGAAUUCCCAGUGUAGAGGUGAAAUUCGUAGAUAUUGGGAAGAACACCGGUGGCGAAGGCGGCUCUCUGGACCGAGACUGACGCUGAGGCGCGAAAGCGUGGGGAGCGAUCCGG